AUUCCAGCUCCAAUAGCGUAUAUUAAAGUUGUUGCAGUUAAAAAGCUCGUAGUUGGAUUUGUGGUUUUCCCUGUGGUAAGAUUUCGGUACUCUGGGGAUCGCCAUCCUUGGGUGGAUUCUGUGUGGCAUUAGGUUGUCGUGCAGGGGAUGCCCAUCGUUUACUGUGAAAAAAUUAGAGUGUUCAAAGCAGGCUUACGCCGUUGAAUAUAUUAGCAUGGAAUAAUGAGAUAGGACUUUGGUACUAUUUUGUUGGUUUGCGCACCAAGGUAAUGAUUAAUAGGGACAGUUGUGGGUAUUCGUAUUCCAUUGUCAGAGGUGAAAUUCUUGGAUUUCUGGAAGACGAACUACUGCGAAAGCAUUUACCAAGGAUGUUUUCAUUAAUCAAGAACGAAAGUUAGGGGAUCGAAGAUGAUUAGAUACCAUCGUAGUCA
rnacentral:rRNA from 1 species